rnacentral:rRNA from 1 species
GACGAACGCUGGCGGCGUGCUUAACACUUGCAAGUCGAACGCUGAAGCACCAGCUUGCUGGUGUGGAUGAGUGGCGAACGGGUGAGUAAUACGUGAGUAACCUGCCCUUGACUCUGGGAUAAGCCCGGGAAACUGGGUCUAAUACUGGAUGCUACAUGUCACCGCAUGGUGGUGUGUGGAAAGGGUUUACUGGUCUUGGAUGGGCUCACGGCCUAUCAGCUUGUUGGUGAGGUAAUGGCUCACCAAGGCGACGACGGGUAGCCGGCCUGAGAGGGUGACCGGCCACACUGGGACUGAGACACGGCCCAGACUCCUACGGGAGGCAGCAGUGGGGAAUAUUGCACAAUGGGCGAAAGCCUGAUGCAGCGACGCCGCGUGAGGGAUGACGGCCUUCGGGUUGUAAACCUCUUUCAGCAGGGAAGAAGCCACAAGUGACGGUACCUGCAGAAGAAGCGCCGGCUAACUACGUG